AGCAGCCGCGGUAAUUCCAGCUCCAAUAGGGUAUAUUAAAGUCGUUGCAGUUAAAAAGCUCGUAGUUGAAUUUCGGGAUUAGUACGCUGGUCGUGCCUUCGGUAUGUACUGGUGUUACUGGUUCCUACCUUCUGACGAACUGUCAUGUCAUUAAUUUGGUGUGGCGGGAAAUCAGGACUGUUACUUUGAAAAAAUUAGAGUGUUUAAAGCAGGCUCGCGCUUGAAUACAUUAGCAUGGAAUAAUGAAAUAGGACGUUCGAUCCUAUUUUGUUGGUUUCUAGGAUUGACGUAAUGAUUAAUAGGGAUAGUUGGGGGCAUUAGUAUUCAAUUGUCAGAGGUGAAAUUCUUGGAUUUAUUGAAGACUAACUACUGCGAAAGCAUUUGCCAAGGAUGUUUUCAUUAAUCAAGAACGAAAGUUAGGGGAUCGAAGACGAUCAGAUACCGUCGUAGUCUUAACCAUAAACCAUGCCGACUAGGGAUCGGAUGAUGUUAUUUUUAAUGACUCAUUCGGCGCCUUACG
rnacentral:rRNA from 1 species